rnacentral:lncRNA from 7 species
AAAGGAAGAACUGUGCACCUCCUGCUAGCUCCUGGUACUUCCUAGUGCUGAUGUUAGUGCUACAGUGCUGUUUUAGAAGACUGUCGCUUACGGGAAGGAUCUGACAAAGUUAGAUGAGUCCAAAGUUCUCAGGGCUUCAUUUUCCUGCAUGUGGGCUCCAUCCAAAAGUGCACAGGAAAGUGGCAUUUGAGAUUGAAGGAAAGAAGGGUCACAGAUCUGCCACGUCAACAAAACAGAUGGGAGUCUCCUGUGGUAACACCGUGCCCUGGGAACAGAUAUGGUUCCAUCUGGAUUUUGAGGCUGUGAACAACUUUUGAGGUCUUGGCAGACAAUGGAACACAUAUCUCACCUGACAAAAGUGAAGAUAUGUCUGUUCCUUGGGUUCUGUGGCUUCUGUGAGGAAACUGGGAUGGCUGGUUUGAGGAUAAAUCUGGGAUGAAGUCAAUAACAGCUCAUUUUAGCACAUUCCCCAGUCUGCAUUCUCUUCUUCAAGCUUUUCGCAUCAGUAAGAUCCAGGUCUGCUCUGUCUAAAAGUGCUGUCUUGAUCUGAAACUGUGUUGGUUCUGAGGGUAUGUGUGUAUAGAUGGGAAAGGGAAUCUCUUUGUGGGUAUCUGCAGCAAAGAUGGAUCAUUCUCUGAGCACUGGGUAGAUUUCAAGCUGGUAACCACCAGGAAAAAUGGAAAAAAAAAUGGUAUAGGCUAAAACUUUUGGAUAAUGUUGCUGGAAACAGAUUUAGUAGGAAGAACUACAGAAGCAGUGCUGAAAAAAUGAAAGGCUGUUUGAGUGUCAUCUUGUAUGGCUGUCUAGUGGGAGAGAGGAACCAGGGCAGUGGGAUCCAUGUGAUUUUUUUUUUUUUUGUCUGUACACAGAAAAUGCUAAAGCAAGAACUGUUUAAAAGAAGCUUUAUUAUUUACAUACUCUAGAGAAACUCACUAGAAGGUCAUUAUUCCAGCAGUCUUUGUUGGGUCUUGAACAGCAACACUGAGAAUGGGAAUGAGGUUUUGAGGGACUCUUGCUCCUAAAUGGCAUAACCACUUUUUCUGCCUAGACUCUGUUUAAGAUAAUGAAUAUGCUUCUAGGCAGCAGACAGUAUCAGGAAGAUACUGUUAUGUCAAAGAAGGAAAGAGGUUUUCACAUAGAACAGCUGAAUCCAGUUUUACCAGUGAAAGUAGUUAGGCAUUGGUAUGUAUAUAUUUCACUCAGAAAAAUCCCACUUGUCAACAGAUAACAGAAAAGUUAUAUUAGUAUUGAUGUGAAAUCAAAUGGUCAUGCUUGGAUCAAUACCUUAUAAUAUUAUUAUGAUGUUUGGGGGAUAUGGAAUGCAAAUUAGCGGUGAUUGAAAUAGCAUUUUCCUCUUACAUUUUAAGUUAUAACUAUUCUGUGUUUUGCACAUUGUUAAAUCAUACAAACAUACUCGCACGCAUAUAACACAUCUAACAGGACAUCAUGACCUAUACAUUAUACCAUGGGGCAGCUGUGAGUUGUCUGUUACACUGUGAAAAUUGCAGAGAAAAUGAUGAGGCCAAGGGGAAUUUUCCUGGAGAAAGCCUUGGUAACUACUGAAUGAGGGUCUUUGUUUUUGACCCGAUGAAAAAUUUUGGCAAGAUAAAGCAAUUAGAAUCCUGGGAUAAGCAAAAUUUUUUGCUCCCCCUCGUUUUAUAUAAGGCACAGCCUUUAUACGACACGGAGAUAGGAAAACCUCUCUCUCAGGAUUAUUUCAUUUUUCUUAUGCCAACCCUCAAAAUUAUUUAAUCGUAAUGAAAAGAUAUUCUUUUAAACUAGUCAUAAUUUUGACACUUUCCUUUUUAUUUGUUAUGCUAAUAUAAGAUUGCUAUCAAGUAUGUAAUUGUGAGGUAAAGUGCUAUAAAGUCUUCUGUUUCAGGUU